UACGUAGGGUGCGAGCGUUGCCCGGAUUUAUUGGGCGUAAAGGGCGCGUAGGCGGCUCGGCACGUCCGUUGUGAAAUCGCCCGGCUCAACUGGGCGGGGUCAGCGGAUACGGUCGAGCUUGAGCAAGCUAGGGGGCAAUGGAAUUCCCGGUGUAGUGGUGGAAUGCGUAGAUAUGGGGAGGAACACCGGUGGCGAAGGCGGCCACCUGGACGGAUACUGACGCUGAGACGCGAAAGCGUGGGUAGCAAACAGG
rnacentral:rRNA from 1 species